rnacentral:rRNA from 1 species
UACAGAGGUCCCGAGCGUUGUUCGGAUUUACUGGGCGUAAAGGGUGCGUAGGUGGUCGGGUAAGUCUCAUGUGAAAUCCCGCAGCUUAACUGCGGAACGGCAUGGGAUACUAUUCGGCUCGAGGAUUGGAGGGGGGACUGGAAUUCCCGGUGUAGCAGUGAAAUGCGUAGAUAUCGGGAGGAACACCAGUGGCGAAGGCGAGUCCCUGGACAAUUCCUGACGCUGAGAAGCGAAAGCAUGGGGAGCGAACAGG